rnacentral:rRNA from 1 species
CCUACGGGACGCAGCAGUGGGGAAUUUUGCGCAAUGCUCGUAAGAGUGACGCAGCGACGUCGCGUGAGGGAAUAAGGCCCUACGGGUCGUAAACCUCUUUUGCCGGGGAGCAAGGGCGGGGACGUGUCCCGGCCCGGAGAGUACCCGGAGAAAAAGCAUCGGCUAACUCCGUGCCAGCAGCCGCGGUAAUACGGAGGAUGCGAGCGUUAUCCGGAUUUAUUGGGUUUAAAGGGUGCGUAGGCGGGCUUUUAAGUCAGCGGUAAAAAUUCGGGGCUCAACCCCGUCCGGCCGUUGAAACUGGGGGC